AUUUAAGGACCGUUUUCAAUAGAAGUUUAUAACAAUUCAAAAAGAGCAGGUGUGUCUCAAUCUAUAAUAUCAGCGCGUCAUCGUGGAAAAUGAUACACUGUUUAAAAAUUUUCCUGAUCAUCGCCUGCACUGGGCUCCUCAUCGAAGCUCUGCCAACCGCCCGUAGAAACCAGCUUGAAGAUCGGACAGUUGUGGGGGGUUCAGUGUUAAGCCCACUUUUAAGAAAUAAACGGGCUGACAACUUGAAAGAACACGCGGAAAGAGCCGCACUGACUCCUGCCAAGGUAGUUGCGGAAUCAGUGAUCUGGACUCCUGUCAUACACGCCUACGAAGGAAUUGCUCAAAGUUUUUAAAAUAUUGGUGAUUUGUUUGGAUGAUGAAUGGCAAUUGGAGCAGAAAUAAAUUAUAAUCAAUUGUAGAAAUAAAAUGUAGCAAUUAUGAACAAAUCGCAAAUCGAUUUUGUCCAUUUUGCAUCGUUUGGAUUCAUACAU